rnacentral:rRNA from 1 species
GAUGAACGCUGGCGGCGUGCUUAACACAUGCAAGUCGAGCGAGAAGUUUUGAAAAGAUUCUUCGGAUGAAAUUUAAAAUGGAAAGCGGCGGACGGGUGAGUAACGCGUAGGCAACCUGCCCCAUACAAAGGGAUAGCAUUUGGAAACGAAUAUUAAUACCUUAUGAAACUUAACUAGUGCAUGCUAGGUAGGUCAAAGAUUUAUCGGUAUGGGAUGGGCCUGCGUCUGAUUAGCUAGUUGGUGAGGUAACGGCUCACCAAGGCGACGAUCAGUAGCCGACCUGAGAGGGUGAACGGCCACAUUGGAACUGAGGCACGGUCCAAACUCCUACGGGAGGCAGCAGUGGGGAAUAUUGCGCAAGGGGGGAAACCCUGAUGCAGCAACGCCGCGUGAACGAUGAAGGCCUUUGGGUCGUAAAGUUCUGUUCUAGGUGAUGAAAACUGACAGUAACCUAGGAGAAAGCCCCGGCUAACUCCGUG